AGGGAAAAAAAGGGUUGCGGGGAGUUCAAAUGAGGGGUCACGCCAAGCAUGGACCGCUUCCCUGUUCCCUACGGAACAAAGGAGUGGGAGCAACCUGGCUCAGCUACCUCAGCCCUUCUCCCUGCACUUGUCCAGGACCAAACCCUGACCCUGCACCUCCGGAAAGGACCGGGACACCCCCAGCUGCCCGGAUUGCAGGACACGGGGUGACUGGAGCAGGGACGAUGCAGCUCCUUGACUGCCACGGUAUCCUCCAGGCGACCCUGCAGAGAUAUGGGCCUUUUCUUGUCAGCCCUGCCCCAGCAAAAACACAGCAGGGCAAGGAGCUCAGCUCCUGCCAAAAGUCCCCGGGGGACCCAGCAUCAAAGCGUGGUCGUCAUCAGGGGAAAAUGCAACGUGACUUGUUCCUCCUGCUGCUCCCGGUCAGGUUUCUCCCUCCUAUUACAGGUUUGCAGCAAACAGGAGGUGAGUCAGGGCUUGUGGGGCGGGAGGCGACGAUGGAGCUGGGGAGGGAGCAGCUGCUCAGUGAAAGGUGAGCUGGUGCUAGGCAGGUGAAUCAUUCCGUGGGGAAAAUCGAUCGUAAUCCUCACAAGCAGCGCUGGCAGUGAGGCACAGCUUGGCUCGUUCAGUAAAUUGCAGAGCAAAGAGAAAAACAAGGCAAGGCUUUUUUUUUUUUUUUUUUUCUUUUCUGAGGCAAUAAAUUGUGAGGGAGCAGCCUGCGAAGCUGCAGCAGCCGCGUUCCCUGGGCUCCUUAAAAGGGAGAUUUUAGUCCGGGACAGAAGGGAGACAGCAAAGCCGUAAACACCCUUGCAGGAAUGUGGCUGCUGAGAAAUGAGGCUCCCGCAGCAGUGGGGGGAGCAGAGCCGUGCCGGGUGCCUUGGCCAUCCCCACAUCUGGUGGUCCCCAGGGAGCUCUGACCCAGUGCUGUGUCCCUGCAUCCCCAGGUCCGUGCCAUGCACACGUCCCCAUGGCUGGCUGGUGGCGCGGGAUGUGACGGAGCCACAGGGCGAGGGGCGGCUGCUCGCAUCAGUGACUGCCCUCAUGUGUUGCAUUUCCACUGAAGCCAGCUGGCAGGGACGGCUGCACGGACGCUCGGGUCGGAGCCACUGACUUUGGAUGGGCUGCCAGAGCUGGGUGAAGGCAUGGCUCACCACGAGCCCUGCGGCACUGGCCCUGUCACGCUGAUGUCACCACGCAGCCUCAGCCCCAGGGAGCCAGGAGACACUUGGCACAGGGCUGGGGGCAGCGUGGGGCUGGGACAGAUGCUGGUGUCCAGAAGGACCGCAGAGGAAGAGCCAUCCCACCACGCAGGGCUGGAGACCCAAGGGACAAGCCCUGCCCGCUGUGCACCAUGGAGCAGAAAAGCCGCCUCUGGAAAGCACUGAAGUCACUGGCGCUGCUUCGGCUGCUGAGGAGCACAAACCGCAGGGUGCAUCGGCUGCACGCGGUGGCUGUGCGGUGCUGGCGCUCGCUCACGGCACAGGGGCUGCCCGGCAUCGUGGCAGUGCUCCCCAGGGAAUGUCAUCACCUGCCAGAGCUGGAGGAGGCUGCCGGCAGCCCGGAGGAGGCUGCGGACAGCCCCGAGACCAGCUCGACCAGCAGCACCAUGGAUGCACCAAUGGACCCAGAGACGAGGACAUCACCAGCAGCCGCGGAAGCCAAGCAGGACUUACUGGGGACUCUGCCCCAGCGCUUCCACAUGCCGGCCCCCAAAGUGCUGUGCCGGCCUUCAGCCCAGCGCUGGGUCAAGCCCUGCUGUACCCGCUCCUGUGGAGAGAGCCUGGAGCGCACGCUCACCAUCCGCUACCCCCGGUGACCACCAUCGGACUGCCUGAGGAGUUGGAGGAGAGCUGCCAGGAGACCUGUGGGGUGAUGCACUCAGCCUUCUGCUAUGAAUAAAGGGAGUGGCCUAUGGCUUACCAAU
rnacentral:lncRNA from 7 species